ACUCCUGCGGGAGGCAGCAGUGGGGAAUUUUGGACAAUGGGCGCAAGCCUGAUCCAGCCAUGCCGCGUGCGGGAAGAAGGCCUUCGGGUUGUAAACCGCUUUUGUCAGGGAAGAAAAGGUUCUGGCUAAUACCUGGGACUCAUGACGGUACCUGAAGAAUAAGCACCGGCUAACUACGUGCCAGCAGCCGCGGUAAUACGUAGGGUGCAAGCGUUAAUCGGAAUUACUGGGCGUAAAGCGUGCGCAGGCGGUUAUGCAAGACAGAGGUGAAAUCCCCGGGCUCAACCUGGGAACUGCCUUUGUGACUGCAUGGCUAGAGUACGGUAGAGGGGGAUGGAAUUCCGCGUGUAGCAGUGAAAUGCGUAGAUAUGCGGAGGAACACCGAUGGCGAAGGCAAUCCCCUGGACCUGUACUGACGCUCAUGCACGAAAGCGUGGGGAGCAAACAGGAUUAGAAACCCUGGUAGUCCCAUGAU
rnacentral:rRNA from 1 species